GACGUAGGGGGCCAGCGUUGUUCGGAAUUACUGGGUGUAAAGGGUUCGUAGGCGGUGUGGCAAGUCGGGAGUGAAAUCUCUGGGCUCAACUCAGAGACUGCUUCCGAAACUGCUGUGCUGGAGUGUGGGAGAGGCGCGUGGAAUUGCAGGUGUAGCGGUGAAAUGCGUAGAUAUCUGCAGGAACACCCGUGGCGAAAGCGGCGCGCUGGACCACUACUGACGCUGAGACACGAAAGCGUGGGUAGCAAACAGG
rnacentral:rRNA from 1 species